AACGCUGGCGGCAGGCCUAACACAUGCAAGUCGAACGAACCUUUCGGGGUUAGUGGCGGACGGGUGAGUAACACGUGGGAACGUGCCUUUAGGUUCGGAAUAACUCAGGAAAACUUGUGCUAAUACCGAAUGUGCCCUUCGGGGGAAAGAUUAAUCGCCUUUAGAGCGGCCCGCGUCUGAUUAGCUAGUUGGUUGAGGUAAUGGCUCACCAAGGCGACGAUCAGUAGCUGGUCUGAGAGGAUGAUCAGCCACAUUGGGACUGAGACACGGCCCAAACUCCUACGGGAGGCAGCAGUGGGGAAUCUUGCGCAAUGGGCGAAAGCCUGACGCAGCCAUGCCGCGUGAAUGAUGAAGGUCUUAGGAUUGUAAAAUUCUUUCACCGGGGACGAUAAUGACGGUACCCGGAGAAGAAGCCCCGGCUAACUUCGUG
rnacentral:rRNA from 1 species